CACGUAGGGGGCAAGCGUUGUCCGGAUUUAUUGGGCGUAAAGAGCUCGUAGGCGGCUCAGUAAGUCGGGUGUGAAACCUCCAGGCUCAACCUGGAGACGCCACCUGAUACUGCUGUGGCUAGAGUCCGGUAGGGGAGCGUGGAAUUCCUGGUGUAGCGGUGAAAUGCGCAGAUAUCAGGAGGACACCAGCGGCGAAGGCGGCGCUCUGGGCCGGAACUGACGCUGAGGCACGAAGGUCAGGGAGCAAACGGG
rnacentral:rRNA from 1 species